rnacentral:rRNA from 1 species
ACGCCAGGGCAAUUACUGACCACCACGGAGGCGGAGCACAAGGUGGAGGGUGGACUCCUUCUGAAUGUUGUAGUCCGCGAGGGUGCGGCCAUCCUCCAGCUGCUUGCCAGCGAAGAUCAGACGCUGUUGGUCCGGGGGGAUGCCCUCCUUGUCCUGGAUCUUGACCUUGACAUUGUCGAUGGUGUCAGAGCUCUCAACCUCCAGAGUGAUGGUCUUCCCCGUCAGGGUCUUCACGAAGAUCUGCAUGCCUCCCCGAAGGCGGAGGACAAGGUGAAGGGUGGACUCCUUCUGGAUGUUGUAGUCAGCGAGGGUGCGACCAUCCUCCAGCUGCUUGCCAGCGAAGAUGAGACGCUGCUGGUCCGGAGGAAUGCCCUCCUUGUCCUGGAUCUUGGCCUUGACAUUGUCAAUGGUGUCGGAGCUCUCAACCUC